AACAGAGCAAGUCAGGCAAUAUCAGGAAGUGGAGAAGUCGAUGUUUCAGACUGUGAUUCUUCAUCAGCAUUUAUUGCCAUUCUAAUUACUAGUGGGCUGCUAAGUGUCAACUAUAUUGUUGUGAGUCUGGAGUCUAGAACAAGAUUGCCAUCUCAUUGCCUGAAUCCAGUACCAGCCCUGGCCACAAUGUCUGUGGGGUACAAGUUAAUUGGGAUUUGCCAGUCCCAGAUGAGAAAGCAUCUGCCUGAGAAACCUGUACACAGCUGCAGAAAGAUCUCUCGACAGACACACACUAGCUGAAAACAAAUGAAGUGGAGUCCUUACCGAUUAAGCAAUACUUCCUCAGAAUGGAUCCCUUCUACUCAACCUGUUCAUGGAUGUUAUUACACUCCUUGAGAGCAAGUGGAAUUUGAACCAGGACCUCCUGGCCCAGAGGGGUGGAGAUGUUGCCACUCUUACAUGACCUCCAGUACCUUAGAGUUCCUCAGUGUCUUAUGCCCAAACAUCUUCAGCUGCUUCAUCAAUUAACCUCCCCAUUACUAAGGUCAAAUGUGACGAUAUUCCUUGAUGAUUGCACAAUGUCUUGUACUGUUUAUAACGUCUCUGACACUGAAGCAGUCCAUGCUCAUUUGCUGAAAGACCGGAACAAAAUCUAGACUUGGCCUGACAAUUGGCA